rnacentral:tRNA from 1 species
UAUCUUUGAGUGUUGCUGCACAUAAAAUUUUGAUUUUUAAAGUAAACUUAAGUUUAUAGAUUA